rnacentral:misc_RNA from 1 species
UUUUUUUUUUUUUUUUUAUCCUUUCAUUGAUUAAAUCUAAAGCAUUCAGUGUGGAUAAUUUCCUUCUGCAUUACUUACCUUCAACGGUAAAUCAGUGGAUCAACUGCUGCAGCUCUAUAUGCGGGAAUCCCACAGGUACUAUGUCCAUUUAUGUUGGAUCAAUUUUAUUGGGCUGAGAGGAUGUACUGGCUUGGAGUUGCUCCAGAACCAUUGAAAAGAAACCAUUUGGUUCCUGAUAAAAUGGAUGACUUCAGAAUCAGGGUAGCUGCAAAUGUGCUAUCAAGAGCCAUAGCUUAUGCAUUAUCUCCUGAAGUUAAGGAAUGUGCUCUAAAAAUUGCUGAAAUGAUCUCUCUCGAGGAUGGAGUUAUGGAAGCUGUAAAGGUUCUUAAGCAAGAGAUGACUUGUUCAAAUUAGAUUCUCUUUGGACUUGCGAAGAUAACUCCUAUUCUCAUAAAUUUUUUGCUUUCUUGAUUUUAGUCUGUGUCACUUGCCAGGAGAUCUCUGUAUAAUAUAUAGUGAUACUGAAAUUAAAGCACAGCCUGGGGUCUUUAGGAUGUCAGCGUCAAUUAAUGCAACUAGGUAGCGGCGGUGAUUCCAAAUGUUGUUUUUCCAACCGUUGCAUUUUUUUCCCAGGAAACAAAAGGAAAGCAUCCUAAUUCUCAUAAUCUAGGUUUCACUUCUCUUGUCCAAAAUUCAACACGGUCAAUUUCAUGUUCCUUGAGCUGCUCACUCUUGCAACUCCCACAAUGCUUGAGCAGUUCGAGCAAUGCCCUUCACAAAUGUGGCAAAAACCUGGUGGGCAAAAGCAGCGCAGCAAUUAAGACAAACAGAAAUCAUUGAUAGAGAAAAUUACUACUUUUAUCUCAUUACCCUUGCUCUUAUUUGACCCCUCUUAGGAGGCAGCUGUGCAUGCAGGGCAUGUUGAGCAGGAGUAGGAUUCUGUGGAUGAAUGUCUGAGGGCUCAGGGACUCGUGGAUUCCGGGGAAAUCUAGACCAUAAUACACCAGAGGCAAAGAUUAAAGGCCAAACAGAGAUUUUGAUAGGACUUUCAGCUUUAUGAGACAGAAAGGCAUAAGCAAUUGCUGCAAAAACACAUUGGAAGAUGCCACAAACUAAUCCAACAAUAUCAGCAAAUGUCCUCAGAGGCUUGUAACUUGGAAAUGGGGAGUAAAACCAAGGUAUAUGGCCUCUCAUCAUGAAUUUAACUCUUUCACUUCGACCUGUUCGAGCAAGAUCAAUAAUGGAGAUG